ACCACCGGUUAGAAGGGGCGAAGCUUCAAAUUUGGAACCCGCUGCCGGAUGUUUCCAUCUCCAAAACCCCAGACCCAGCUCGCCGCAGAGCAAAUCAAUGGAAAUAUAGCCCUAUUCACCGAGCCGUCCACCCCCUGAUCCUCCUAUGCCGAGCCCUGUUGACGUCGACAUCGCCGACGCUACUGCUCGGCAUGAUCCCGCGUCCCCUUUCCCGGUCAUCUCCCCUUGGGGGGACGUGCUCCCGCUUUCCCCUGCCCGCGACAGCCCCAUUCGGCGCCGUCGGUCCAAGCUUCUUCUUCGCGAUUCGUCCGUCGACAAAGGCGCAGGGGCUGCCGGGUCUCCACGAAAGAAGCGCCGCGGGGCGGGGGAGGCGCGCACAGCGGCGUCGCCCGGAAAGAAUGUCAGGAGGGCGCGGCGGCGGCUAGAGAAUGGCGGCAGGAGGGAGGAGACGGGGAACGAGGCGGCGGCGGCGGAGGAAGCGGUGGGUAAGACCCGGAGAAAGAAGACCGCGGCGCAGCCUCCGGCUGCCAAGGGAUUGGUAGCAAUCGUCAAGGAGAAGAAGGUGUCGGGCCUGGCUUUGGUGCCUUAUCCUCGUACCAAUCUAACCCAAGGUCCAGAGAAUGUAGAGCAGUCUGACUGGGAAGGUCUUUGGGAAAUGGUUGUCGAAUUGGUGAUGUGGAAGAAUGUUGGGCGAUCAGCAUUUUGGUUUGGCUCUGGAUCUAUGCUUUUCCUCUCUUCAUCCUUUUCAAGGGACAUCGAUUUCAGUCCAAUCAAGGUACUUUGCAACUUUGGUGUUGUAACGUUGGGCUUAGCCUUCUUCAAAGAUUCCAUUUCUCAGAGCUGUAACAGGCAGAACAUGGAGCGUGCAAGGAGUUUCCAGUUGACCGAGGAGGAUGUACUCCAGGUUGCCAAAGCGGUCUUGCCAGUUGCUAACUCCUUCAUAACCAUGACCCGAGUGAUCUUCUCUGGCGAUCCAUCCAUGACUCUGAAAGUGUUACCCGUUCUUCUGUUUGGUGCUAAAUAUGGGCAUCUGUUCACAGUAUGGAGGCUUCUAGCAACAGGUUUUUUUGGUUGUUUUACACUUCCAAGACUUUAUAGCUGCUACUCGAGUCAUAUUCAUGAAAAAGUUGGGGGUUUAAAAACCCAGAUUCUGAAUGCAUGGAAGUCCUGUCCCCGCAAGAAACUUGUUGCAGCUGCUGCAGUGACAACCUUCUGGAAUAUGGUUGGUGUGAAGACACGCAUAAUGGCUGAACUCAUGACAGUGCUGUUACCAAGUAGGCUGACAUUAAGAGUCUACAUGGCAAAAUGAAGCCCAUAGCGUUGCCACAUUACUUAUCGACGUGGACAGCCCGUCCGCACCUUAUCAGGCUUGAGGGGGCUGCCCCGUUCAACAUAAUCAGGUGCCACUUGCCGUCAGCAGCAGGGAGGAGGCAAGUGGAGAAUAGCAUGCAGGUGAGUGACAACAAGCAAAUCGAUCACCUUGACAAUGUGUGAGCGCUGUGGCCCAGGAACGUGGUCACUUGGGGGUGGAUUUGGGGAUUAGGUUGUAUUUAGAAUGGGAUUUGAGGAGACCGGAUUGACUUGUGGCACUGAUUCAUCCUGGCCAGCGAAAUUGAUGACGGUCAUCUGCCACUGCCAUCUUCUGGGGUUCUGCUCACCUGCUCUGUUUGCGGCGGAGGGACCGGGCGGAAUGAACUUGUUGACCACCCGCAGACCUUGGUUGCUGCAGUAACACUGCGCUACUACGAUCAGUAUGGACGAACUAGCAAGAAUUCUGAGGGGGUAAUACAGGAGCAGCGACAAGCAACUGUGAUGGAAGACUAACAAGCUACCUCAUGUGCAGCCCAAUAAACAGAUGCCGACAUAACUGAGUAUUUCUGUGGUUCUUAGUGUGGGCAAAAAUAUGCUGCAAAAUUGCAUCCUCUAGAGCGCUUCAAUGGCUACAAAACUGUUUGCUAUUUACUGGUAGCUGUACAUCUUGUUGCUGCAGAGUCAGAGAUGGUAGUAUUUUGGCGAGGAAGCUACAUUUCAGCGUACCUGAAACCAGGAAGGUAUCAUGUACGAGUACAAUGCACGCAUGAUCGCUUGACACACAUGUUGCUGUUAUAUUCGUGUCAAGCCUGAUGUGCUGUUUCUGGUUGGCAAAGCCCCAAUUCCUCUUUUGCUUUGAGCGAGUCUCAUCUGGCAGUGUGAAUAUAAGCCUUACUAUAGAGGCCUGGAUUGAAUGUCCACAUGUUAGAUUCUUUUGCAGGCAUCUCUUGGUUUGUUGA